AGUAACGCGUAAACAACCUGCCCUUCGGAUGGGGACAACAGCUGGAAACGGCUGCUAAUACCGAAUACAUUCUUUUCAUCGCAUGGUGAGAAGAAGAAAGGACGGCCUCUACACAAAGCGGUCGCCGAAGGAGGGGUUUGCGUCUGAUUAGCUAGUUGGAGGGGUAACGGCCCAACAAGGCGACGAUCAGUAGCCGGUCUGAGAGGAUGAACGGCCACAUUGGGACUGAGACACGGCCCAGACUCCUACGGGAGGCAGCAGCC
rnacentral:rRNA from 1 species